AACGAACGCUGGCGGCAGGCCUUACACAUGCAAGUCGAACGUGAAAGUCCUUCGGGAUGAGUAAAGUGGCGCACGGGUGAGUAACGCGUGGGAAAGUACCCUUCAGUACGGGAUAACCGCGGGAAACUGCUGCUAAUACCGUCUAUUCUCGUGAGAGGGAAGAUUUAUCGCUGAAGGAUCGGCCCGCGUCAGAUCAGCUAGUUGGUGGGGUAAUGGCCUACCAAGGCUACGAUCUGUAGCUGGUCUGAGAGGAUGAUCAGCCACACUGGAACUGAGACACGGUCCAGACUCCUACGGGAGGCAGCAGUGGGGAAUAUUGGACAAUGGGCGAAAGCAUGAUCCAGCCAUGCCGCGUGAAUGAUGAAGUCCUUAGGGUUGUAAAGUUCUUUUGACGGGGAAGAUAAUGACGGUACCCGUAGAAUAAGCUCCGGCUAACUUCGUGCCAGCCGCCGCCGUAA
rnacentral:rRNA from 1 species